UAAUUUUAAAAAUAUAAAUAAAUAAUGAAGAUUAGGAUUUAAUACAACAUUUUUUUGUAGAGCAUAAAAUGUUCUCUAUAACCAAGUUUAAUCUACUUCCUAGUUGACAGUGUAUCAGAAAGUACAUAUUAUGUAUUUUUUUAAAAUUAUGGUAUAUAUCCAAUUUUUAAAUUUGUUUUAUAGUUAUGUCAGAAAGGCUGAAAGCUUU